GCGGGGGCGGGCGGUGUUGCCGGGCCCGGCCCGCUGCACGGCCUCUCGGACAGAGCCGCCUGUGCGCCAGGAAGGGCCUCGCCGGCGGGACGGCCAGGCCAUAACCCUCGUUUUUUCCCCGGUCGUAUCCAAGGGGCUUGAGGAGCAGCAGAAGAGGCAGCAUGUGCCCUUUUGCGGAGCUGAAAUAACACCGAGACACGUCAGCACAAACGCGUGAGAGCAGAUGGUGCUGUGCUGCGCUCAGGGCUGUACCAAGAUCAGUGCUUGCAAGGCCACAGAAACCAGUACCACAGGAUGCUCUUUUUGACAUCUCUUCAUGCUGCUAUGGAUUUGUUACCUACUGGGUACACUGCAUACAACCAGUUGCUGCAGCAAAGGGUCUGUACUUGCUAGAACAGAAACUCCAGUUUAAUCUAUGGAGCAUCAUAAGGUGGUAAUGGGAUUUGUCACACCGACUAAACUGAGACUAACCUUUAACCCUUUAUAUGGAACUGUCUGUUGAAAGAGGAACCUGCAGUACUGAAAACAGUCAGUGCUUGACUGCAUGAGGCUGUGCCUCUCACAGAAGGUGAAUGAUGGCUUACUUAAAACUUUUAUAAAAUGAAGGCUCAGUUAAAGCCUGUUGUGUUUCUUCUUUGCAAGGCAACAAUAAACCAGUGAUUGAUAUUUACAGUUGUUACUUGAAUAACUGGGGAGAGGACAACUAAGGUUCUUAAUAAGGUAUGUAUGUACAAGCAGUCUUGCUCUCCCUUCAGGUUAAGAUUUGUAGUUUGAGUUACUAUGAAGACCACGCAGGUCAGCUUUUUUUUUUUUUUAAAAAAAAGGGCAAAAACUUUCUUUAUCACACAGGGUUGUUUCUUUCCUCCUACUAGCAGAAAUGCCUUUUUAGAUACAUGGUGAACUAAAACUUAACAUGUAGCUGUUUCAUUAAGAACAUUUUUUUUUUCACAGCUGUAAGUAGGGAGCCUCUGAAAAUGUGAAGUUGGCAAUAUAAAGGAAUGCAACAAGAAGGCAAGCCAAUAAUUCAUAAUUAUCACUAAAGCAGUAAAAAAUAGCUGUUUACAAAGGCAAACAGUGAACUGACUUUAAGCGAUAUUGCUGCAGGCAUUUAGAGUGCUCAUAACUGUAUCUUCAACUACUGCUCAAGGUGUGCUUCAGGUUGUUAGAACUUGUGUGCUUUAAUGAUUUAAAUUACAAAGAUUGACUACUUUCCUUUAUAUUGUAUGUGUGUCUCAGCAUACAAGAUAGCAACUUGCCUUGGUUUUACUCAGCAGUGCUUGACAGUUGCCUGCAUGAUCUGAUAGAAUGGUGAUACCUACCCAGUUUACUUGGACAAGUAUCAGAACUUUAACUUGACUAAAACAAAAUCAAGGUUUUCUCAAUUUAGAAGAGCACUCCUAUCUAGCAUACGUGCAAGAUAGUAUCAAGAAGCACACUGCUUAAACUGACAGUGAUUUAUUGUGUUUAGGAACAUUCAAUAAAUGCCAGUUUUAGCUUCAGUUUGGCAAUCCUUCCCCACCAAAAAGCAGUUGGUUCAUUGUGUUUGUGUUUUUUUUGUUUGUUCUAGCAUGAACUCCAUUGCCAGCAAUGGAUUUAUCAGAACAAGAAGUUAAUAAAUAAUACACAGAGACAGCAGUUUUCUAGACAUACCUCAUCUUUUUAAAGGCAUGAUACAGAUUCACUGAACAAAUGUAAAGUUCUUCACAGAAGAAAAUUUUGCUACAAUCCAUCUCUGAACAUUUUCUUCACUAAAGCUGGCAGUUUAUUUCAUGGAGUGCAGUAUUUCUUUUGCAACAGUACUGAUGAAUCUUUUCAAAACAAGGUUUUUACCCCCAUAAGAAAGACCUACCGGAUCCUUCAUACCACCACCAUCCUUGCCCAGGCCUUCCCCCUUCUUCCAUCCCAUCUUCUCCAACAUUUUAUGUCCUUUGUUGCUGUUGCUGAUUUCACUUUGAUGAAGAAAGUUUAAGAUAACUGGGUAAGUAAGAGUCAAUACAAAGAGCAUGCUCUCUAUUCAAUUAUUGAAGGACAAACAUGCAUGCAUAUACUGCUCCAGAAACCAGGGCUCAACUACUCUGCUGUUCCUAGCUCCAUCAAGAGCUAUCCAAAAGACCGUAGUGCUACCUUUUGCAAGUUCCUCCAUUAAUCUCUUUGGUUACCAAAGCUAUUCCAAGCUUCUGGUCAAUAUCAACUUUCUUAAAACUCCUUCUGAACCACUUACUUACUUUAGGAUUUGUAAGAUACAUGAUGGGUAGGUGGGAAUUGUCUGCACUAGUGAAAAGGCAGUAUUGCUACCUCACCACCAAAUUAUCCUAACACAUGUAUUUCAUUGUUUCACACUUCCACGUUUCUUAAAAAAACCACCACAACUUCAACUACAAAAGCAAAGAGUAAUUUAAGAGGAAGAUUAAGUGUCAUUUAAGAGGUGUGUAAACGUAUGCCCUAUGAUAGACUGGAUACUGACAGUGAAAAACUGCAGGUGAAAAAUUUGCAUGUGUACUAUUACUGGGAUUGGAUAGGAAAAAUCAAAAUUGAGACACUUGAAAAACAGACACUACUGGAGGUGUCAAUAGUGCAGCUGGGGAGUUCCUUGAUUUUUUGAGCUGGUAAGAAAGUGGUCUCAGUAUCCUUAUUGCCAAGUUGAAUUCUAUAUGGAAGGUGAAGAGCUAAUAAUAAGACCAAGUGAACUGGAAAGUAGGAAUAGCUUAGAUUUUCUGGCUCUCCUAACAUAUAUGCAGGUAAUUAAUAAUCUAACAAACUGUAUCCUAGUAACUAAUUGAUGCUUUGUCAUCUUUUUUUAGUAUUUACUACAGAAUGACACUGAGGAUUCCCCCCUCUUCAAAUAAACUUACAUAUGAACAGAAGCUGGACUAUCAUCUCUCUGGAAGGUUCCUUCACUUCCGAUGGUC